UUAAAUUGAAGAGUUUGAUCAUGGCUCAGAUUGAACGCUGGCGGCAGGCCUAACACAUGCAAGUCGAACGGUAACAGGAAGCAGCUUGCUGCUUCGCUGACGAGUGGCGGACGGGUGAGUAAUGUCUGGGAAACUGCCUGAUGGAGGGGGAUAACUACUGGAAACGGUGGCUAAUACCGCAUAACGUCGCAAGACCAAAGAGGGGGACCUUCGGGCCUCUUGCCAUCAGAUGUGCCCAGAUGGGAUUAGCUUGUUGGUGAGGUAACGGCUCACCAAGGCGACGAUCCCUAGCUGGUCUGAGAGGAUGACCAGCCACACUGGAACUGAGACACGGUCCAGACUCCUACGGGAGGCAGCAGUGGGGAAUAUUGCACAAUGGGCGCAAGCCUGAUGCAGCCAUGCCGCGUGUAUGAAGAAGGCCUUCGGGUUGUAAAGUACUUUCAGCGGGGAGGAAGGUGUUGUGGUUAAUAACCGCAGCAAUUGACGUUACCCGCAGAAGAAGCACCGGCUAACUCCGUGCCAGCAGCCGCGGUAAUACGGAGGGUGCAAGCGUUAAUCGGAAUUACUGGGCGUAAAGCGCACGCAGGCGGUCUGUCAAGUCGGAUGUGAAAUCCCCGGGCUCAACCUGGGAACUGCAUUCGAAACUGGCAGGCUUGAGUCUUGUAGAGGGGGUAGAAUUCCAGGUGUAGCGGUGAAAUGCGUAGAGAUCUGGAGGAAUACCGGUGGCGAAGGCGGCCCCCUGGACAAAGACUGACGCUCAGGUGCGAAAGCGUGGGGAGCAAACAGGAUUAGAUACCCUGGUAGUCCACGCCGUAAACGAUGUCUACUUGGAGGUUGUGCCCUUGAGGCGUGGCUUCCGGAGCUAACGCGUUAAGUAGACCGCCUGGGGAGUACGGCCGCAAGGUUAAAACUCAAAUGAAUUGACGGGGGCCCGCACAAGCGGUGGAGCAUGUGGUUUAAUUCGAUGCAACGCGAAGAACCUUACCUGGUCUUGACAUCCACAGAAGAAUCCAGAGAUGGAUUUGUGCCUUCGGGAACUGUGAGACAGGUGCUGCAUGGCUGUCGUCAGCUCGUGUUGUGAAAUGUUGGGUUAAGUCCCGCAACGAGCGCAACCCUUAUCCUUUGUUGCCAGCGGUUAGGCCGGGAACUCAAAGGAGACUGCCAGUGAUAAACUGGAGGAAGGUGGGGAUGACGUCAAGUCAUCAUGGCCCUUACGACCAGGGCUACACACGUGCUACAAUGGCGCAUACAAAGAGAAGCGACCUCGCGAGAGCAAGCGGACCUCAUAAAGUGCGUCGUAGUCCGGAUUGGAGUCUGCAACUCGACUCCAUGAAGUCGGAAUCGCUAGUAAUCGUGGAUCAGAAUGCCACGGUGAAUACGUUCCCGGGCCUUGUACACACCGCCCGUCACACCAUGGGAGUGGGUUGCAAAAGAAGUAGGUAGCUUAACCUUCGGGAGGGCGCUUACCACUUUGUGAUUCAUGACUGGGGUGAAGUCGUAACAAGGUAACCGUAGGGGAACCUGCGGUUGGAUCACCUCCUUACCUUAAAGAAGC
rnacentral:rRNA from 1 species